rnacentral:lncRNA from 1 species
AGCAGCUGCUCGGGACAGAGGGGCAGCUGCUCGGGACAGAGGGGCGAUAGCAGCUCGGGACAGAGGGGCGAUAGCAGCUCGGGACAGAGGGGCGAUAGCAGCUCGGGACAGAGGGGCGAUAGCAGCUCGGGACAGAGGGGCGAUAGCAGCUCGGGACAGAGGGGCGAUAGCAGCUCGGGACAGAGGGGCGAUAGCUGCUCGGGACAGAGGGGCAGCUGCUCGGGACAGAGGGGCGGCAGCAGCUUGGGACAGAGGGGCGACAGCUGCUCUGGACAGAGGGGCAGCUGCUCGGGCGGCCCCUGGCUGACUGGCGGCACUGGCGGCCCCUGGCUGACUGGCGGCACUGGCGGCCCCUGGCUGACUGGCGGCACUGGCGGCCCCUGGCUGACUGGCGGCACUGGCGGCCCCUGGCUGACUGGCGGCACUGGCGGCCCCUGGCUGACUGGCGGCACUGGCGGCCCCUGGCAGACGGGCGGCGCUGGCGGCGCUGGGCAGACGGGCGGCGCUGGCGGCGCUGGGCAGACGGGCGGCGCUGGCGCCGCUGGGCAGACGGGAAGCUCAGCUGGCGCUGGGCAGACGGGAAGCUCAGCUGGCGCUGGGCAGACGGGAAGCUCCGGCAACGCUGGAGAAGAGGAAGGCCCUGGUAGCGCCGGAGAGGCGGGAGACUCCGGCAGCGGCGCCGGACAGGCGGGAGGCUCCGGCAGCGGCGCCGGACAGGGGGGAGGCUCGGCAGCGGCGCCGGACAGGGGGGAGGCUCCGGCAGCGGCGCCGGACAGGGGGGAGGCUCCGGCAGCGGCGCCGGACAGGGGGGAGGCUCCGGCAGCGGCGCCGGACAGGCGGGAGGCUCCGGCAGCAGCGCCGGACAGGGGGGAGGCUCCGGCAGCGGCGCCGGACAGGGGGGAGGCUCCGGCAGCGGCGCCGGACAGGCGGGAGGCUCCGGCAGCGGCGCCGGACAGGCGGGAGGCUCCGGCAGCGGCGCCGGACAGGCGGGAGGCUCCGGCAGCGCCGCCGGACAGGCGGGAGGCUCCGGCAGCGGCGCCGGACAGGCGGGAGGCUCCGGCAGAGGCGCCGGACAGGCGGGAGGCUCCGGCAGAGGCGCCGGACAGGCGGGAGGCUCCGGCAGAGGCGCCGGACAGGCGGGAGGCUCCGGCAGCGGCGCCGGACAGGCGGGAGGCUCCGGCAGCGGCGCCGGACAGGCGGGAGGCUCCGGCAGAGGCGCCGGACAGGCGGGAGGCUCCGGCAGAGGCGCCGGACAGGUGGGAGGCUCCGGCAGCGCUGGAGAGGAGGAAGCCCCUGUAA